CUACCAUGCAGUCGACGGCAGCACAGGAGAGCUUGCUCUCUGGGUGGCGAGUGGCGGACGGGUGAGGAAUACAUCGGAAUCUACUCUGUCGUGGGGGAUAACGUAGGGAAACUUACGCUAAUACCGCAUACGACCUACGGGUGAAAGCAGGGGACCUUCGGACCUUGCGCGAUUGAAUGAGCCGAUGUCGGAUUAGCUAGUUGGCGGGGUAAAGGCCCACCAAGGCGACGAUCCGUAGCUGGUCUGAGAGGAUGAUCAGCCACACUGGAACUGAGACACGGUCCAGACUCCUACGGGAGGCAGCAGUGGGGAAUAUUGGACAAUGGGCGCAAGCCUGAUCCACCCAUACCGCGUGGGUGAAGAAGGCCUUCGGGUUGUAAAGCCCUUUUGUUGGGAAAGAAAUCCAGCUGGCUAAUACCCGGUUGGGAUGACGGUACCCAAAGAAUAAGCACCGGCUAACUUCGUGCCAGCAGCCGCGGUAAUACGAAGGGUGCAAGCGUUACUCGGAAUUACUGGGCGUAAAGCGUGCGUAGGUGGUCGUUUAAGUCCGUUGUGAAAGCCCUGGGCUCAACCUGGGAACUGCAGUGGAUACUGGGCGACUAGAAUGUGGUAGAGGGUAGCGGAAUUCCUGGUGUAGCAGUGAAAUGCGUAGAGAUCAGGAGGAACAUCCAUGGCGAAGGCAGCUACCUGGACCAACAUUGACACUGAGGCACGAGAGCGUGGGGAGCAAACAGGAUUACAUACCCUGGUAGUCCACGCCCUAAACGAUGCGAACUGGAUGUUGGGUGCAAUAUAGUCACGCAGUAUCGAAGCUAACGCGUUAAGUUCGCCGCCUGGGGAGUACGUCGCAAGACUGAAACUCAUAGGAAGUGGACGGGGGGCCCGCACAAGCGGUGGAGUA
rnacentral:rRNA from 1 species